rnacentral:rRNA from 1 species
AGAGUUUGAUCAUGGCUCGAGAUUGAACGCUGGCGGCAGGCCUAACACAUGCAAGUCGGGCGGUAGAGAGAAGCUUGCUUCUCUUGAGAGCGGCGGACGGGUGAGUAAUGCCUAGGAAUCCUGCCUGGUAGUGGGGGAUAACGCUCGGAAACGGACGCUAAUACCGCAUACGUCCUACGGGAGAAAGCAGGGGACCUUCGGGCCUUGCGCUAGUCAGAUGAGCCUAGGUCGGAUUAGCUAGUUGGUGAGGUAAUGGCUCACCAAGGCGACGAUCCGUAACUGGUCUGAGAGGAUGAUCAGUCACACUGGAACU